rnacentral:rRNA from 1 species
AAUGAACGUUGGCGGCGUGGAUUAGGCAUGCAAGUCGAGCGUGUACCCGCAAGGGGAAAGCGGCGGAAGGGACAGUAACACGUAGAUUACCUGCCCUCAGGUCUGGGAUAGCCACGGGAAACUGUGGGUAAUACCGGAUAAUAUCUUCGGAUCAAAGGUGUGAUUCCGCCUGAGGAUGGGUCUGCGUCCUAUUAGCUUGUUGGUGAGGUAACGGCUCACCAAGGCAAUGAUGGGUAGUGGGUGUGAGAGCACGACCCGCGUCACUGGGACUGAGACACUGCCCAGACACCUACGGGUGGCUGCAGUCGAGGAUCUUCGGCAAUGGGCGCAAGCCUGACCGAGCGACGCCGCGUGCGGGAUGGAGGCCUUCGGGUUGUAAACCGCUGUCGGAGGGGAUGAAAGGUAUGUGGGUUCUCCCAUGUAUUUGACAUAGCCUCGGAGGAAGUACGGGCUAAGUUCGUGCCAGCAGCCGCAGUAAUAC